rnacentral:rRNA from 1 species
UGGGGAAUAUUGCACAAUGGGCACAAGCCUGAUGCAGCCAUGCCGCGUGUAUGAAGAAGGCCUUCGGGUUGUAAAGUACUUUCAGCGGGGAGGAAGGGAGUAAAGUUAAUACCUUUGCUCAUUGACGUUACCCGCAGAAGAAGCACCGGCUAACUCCGUGCCAGCAGCCGCGGUAAUACGGAGGGUGCAAGCGUUAAUCGGAAUUACUGGGCGUAAAGCGCACGCAGGCGGUCUGUCAAGUCGGAUGUGAAAUCCCCGGGCUCAACCUGGGAACUGCAUUCGAAACUGGCAGGCUAGAGUCUUGUAGAGGGGGGUAGAAUUCCAGGUGUAGCGGUGAAAUGCGUAGAGAUCUGGAGGAAUACCGGUGGCGAAGGCGGCCCCCUGGACAAAGACUGACGCUCAGGUGCGAAAGCGUGGGGAGCAAACAGG